rnacentral:lncRNA from 1 species
CUGGAGCCAUGCAAACUGAAAGCCAUAUUAUGAUUGUGUAAUAUAAAGAGAGGCAAGGUAUUUCUAUGUACUUUGGCGCUUACUUGGUACUCGCUGUUUUGGAUAUGGAAUGGGUCUUUUCAAUGAUUGGCUUAAAAGAAGACUGCCAGAUUCUCAGAUCCACUUCUGCAUUCAAUCCGUUGUGACAUGUGCUCUGCUUGAAGGGCAUGGAACUGCUGAGUCAUGUAGCAACUCGAUGCUUAUCAUUUGAGGAGCUGCCAGACUGUAUUCCAAAGCAGUUUCAUCAGGUAAAAAAUCACUAUUAUUUAAAUUUUUUUGUUCACUUAAAUGACUUUAGUGACGAUCACAGCUCUUGUUUCUUUUCCCCUUACUAACAUGGAUGCCACUCUGGUAGGGUGACCAACCAUCUGGCUGUCUCAGCCUGAGAACAUUCCCAGGACGUGGGACUUCCAGUGCUAAAACCAGGAACAUCCCAGGCAAACCGAUGGGG